GACGAACGCUGGCGGCGUGCUUAACACAUGCAAGUCGAACGCUGAAGCUCAGCUUUUGUUGGGUGGAUGAGUGGCGAACGGGUGAGUAACACGUGAGUAACCUGCCCCCUUCUUUGGGAUAACGCCCGGAAACGGGUGCUAAUACUGGAUAUUCACUGGUCUUCGCAUGGGGGUUGGUGGAAAGGGUUUUUCUGGUGGGGGAUGGGCUCGCGGCCUAUCAGCUUGUUGGUGGGGUGAUGGCCUACCAAGGCUUUGACGGGUAGCCGGCCUGAGAGGGUGACCGGUAACAUUGGGACUGAGAUACGGCCCAGACUACGACGGGAGGCAGCAGGGGGGGAAGUUGCACAAUGGGCGCAAGACUGGUGCAGCGACGCCGCGUGAGGGAUGGAGGGCUUCGGGUUGGGAACCUCUUUCGCUCAUGGUCAAGCCGCAACAAUGGUUGUGGUGAGGGUAGUGGGUAAAGAAGCGCCGGCUAACUACGUG
rnacentral:rRNA from 1 species